CUCCACCAUCGUGGACUGCAGUUGGUGAUGGUGCUGCUGUAUCUGCUCUGAUCUGGAGGAUCACUCGAACAAGAACCUGAAGCUGGUUGAGAACAUUCAGCCUGGCUCAAACCCCAGAGGAGCGACUCUGAAAGAAGAAGAGCGUCUGCGAGUGAGAGAACUACAGUGAUACCUUUAAACACUGGAGGAGCAGCAGAGAGACAGAGUCGAGGAGCGUAUCAGGUCACGUUUCACUGCGUGUUACCUACCUGUAUAACCAUGCACGUG